UACGUAGGCAGCGAGCGUUGUUCGGAAUUACUGGGCGUAAAGAGUGUGUAGGCGGUGCUCUAAGUUCGGUGUGAAAUCUCCUGGCUCAACUGGGAGGGUGCGCCGGAAACUGGAGUGCUUGAGCGUGGGAGAGGAAAGCGGAAUUCCUGGUGUAGCGGUGAAAUGCGUAGAUAUCAGGAGGAACACCAAUGGCGAAGGCAGCUCGCUGGGACGGUACUGACGCUGAGACGCGAAAGCGUGGGGAGCAAACAGG
rnacentral:rRNA from 1 species